rnacentral:rRNA from 1 species
GACGAACGCUGGCGGCGUGCCUAAUACAUGCAAGUAGAACGCUGAAGAGAGGAGCUUGCUCUUCUUGGAUGAGUUGCGAACGGGUGAGUAACGCGUAGGUAACCUGCCUGGUAGCGGGGGAUAACUAUUGGAAACGAUAGCUAAUACCGCAUGAAAUUGAUUAUCGCAUGAUACUUAAUUGAAAGAUGCAAUUGCAUCACUACCAGAUGGACCUGCGUUGUAUUAGCUAGUUGGUGAGGUAACGGCUCACCAAGGCGACGAUACAUAGCCGACCUGAGAGGGUGAUCGGCCACACUGGGACUGAGACACGGCCCAGACUCCUACGGGAGGCAGCAGUAGGGAAUCUUCGGCAAUGGGGGGAACCCUGACCGAGCAACGCCGCGUGAGUGAAGAAGGUUUUCGGAUCGUAAAGCUCUGUUGUAAGAGAAG